UGAGUCCGGACCGUUUAGCGGGGUACAGCAGUAGUGUGAAAGUCAGUGAUGUUAUGAAAGCAGAAAGGUAUUAAAAUCAUAAUAACAUGCUGAUAAAAUCAUAACAUCAUUUCAGGAAUGGCGGAGCAGCAGCCCGGCGGCGAGAAGCAGGGGGUGAGGCUUUUAGGGAUCCUGGACGUGGAGAACACUCCCUGUGCGCGAGAUGCUCUUCUCCAUGGAGCAGGCGGAUCUGUCGUUGCAGGACUUGUGCACUUUUUGGCAACUAGCAGAGUGAAGCGCUCGUUUGAUAUGGGAAUGGCUGGAUUCAUGCUGACAACACUGGGCUCAUGGUUCUACUGCCGAUACAACACCGCAAAACUGCGAGUGCAGCAGAAGGUGAUUCAGGAUGGAAUUAAGAAUAAAGUGAUGUAUGAGGGGACGAGUCUUGAUCCCACACGAAAAACAAGAGAGCAGUAAAGUGGCCACUGCUGUGGCUCUCUCAUCCAGAGGCCAGAUCAUUGCCUGUACCUGAAUAUCCAGCACCUCAUGUGUCCUGCUGCACUGGAGCCCGAGCGAGGGUGAUGAAGGUGAGGAAGAACACAGAGACCAGCACCGUCACCAGGUGCACAGUGACCCCGGCUUUGAUGGAGGUUAAACUGUCCAGCUCAUAAUGUUCCAUCAGGGCAGUGGAUUUCACUUCAUGGCUCAUCACUUUUAUUGUCCUCACAAGCCGACACAGCCAUUUUAUCUUUAUUGAGCGCAAAAGGACACCAGAGACGAGCGUUUACCCUUUCAGCCAGAUACAAGCAGCCACACUGAGGGAAAGUCUAAGGUCCAGUCCCGUUUCUUAUUUUCACACCUACCCAUUGUUUUCGAGUGUCUUCUUGCCCCUUGGAACUG